UUUGGGAAGGCAGCUCAAAGGGGAGGUAAAUUUCUUCUAAAGCUAAAUWCUGGCCAGAGACCGAUAGCGCACAAGUAGAGUGAUCGAAAGAUGAAAAGCACUUKGGAAAGAGAGUCAAAUAGCACGUGAAAUUGUUGAAAGGGAAGCGCUUGCAGCCAGACUUGCCUGUAGUUGCUUAUCUGGACUUUUGUCCAGUGCACUCUUCUGCGGGCAGGCCAGCAUCAGUUUGGGCGGUUGGAUAAAGGUCUCUAUCACGUACCUCUCUUCGGAGAGGCCUAUAGGGGAGACGUCAUGCACAGCCUGGACUGAGGUCCGCGCAUCUGCUMGGAUGCKGGCGUAAUGGCUGUAAGCGGCCCGUCUUGAMACACGGACCAAGGAGUCUAACAUCUAUGCGAGUGUUUGGGUGUCARGMCCAUMCGCGUAAUGAAAGUGAACGGAGGUAGGAACCCUUUUGGGUGCACUAUCGCCGAUCCUGAUGUCUUCGGAAGGAUUUGAGUAAGAGCAUGGCUGUUGGGACCCGAAAAGAUGGUGAACUAUGCUUGAAUAGGGUGAAGCCAGAGGAAACUCUGGUGGAGGCUCGCAGCGGUUCUGACGUGCAAAUCGAUCGUCAAAUUUGGGCAUAGGGGCGAAAGACUAAUCGAACUAUCUAGUAGCUGGUUCCUGCCGAAGUUUCCCUCAGGAUAGCAGUAACGUAUUCAGUUUUAUGAGGUAAAGCGAAUGAUAAGAGGCAUGGGGGUUGAAACAACCUUCACCUAUUCUCAAACUUUAAAUAUGUAAGAAGUCCUUGUUACUUGAUUGAACGUGGACACUUGAAUGUAYCGUUACUAGUGGGCCAUUUUUGGUAAGCAGAACUGGCGAUGCGGGAUGAACCGAACGCAGGGUUAAGGUGCCAGAAUAUACGCUCAUCAGACACCACAAAAGGUGUUAGUUCAUCUAGACAGCAGGACGGUGGCCAUGGAAGUCGGAAUCCGCUAAGGAGUGUGUAACAACUCACCUGCCGAAUGAACUAGCCCUGAAAAUGGAUGGCGCUCAAGCGUAUUACCCAUACCCCGCCGCCGGGGCRGAAUUUAAGCCCGGCGAGUAGGCAGGCGUGGAGGCUCGUGACG
rnacentral:rRNA from 1 species